rnacentral:lncRNA from 1 species
GUGUUACCCAAUUGAAGUUCCAGCGCAGCAAGCGAUCUGUUGCAGAGGAGCGUGCUGGUCGAAAAUUGGGAGGUCUCAGGGUUGUGAAUUCAUACUGGAUCAAUGAGGUUUGUACGACCUGCAAAAAGUUCUGGUUUGCUACCUUAGUAUGUAUUUGGUUGUCCCGAUUCCUUAAUUAACACUCAUUUAUGUUGUUGCAUUUCGUUCUGUAGGAUUCUACUUACAAGUACUUUGAGGUUAUCCUGGUUGAUGUUGCACACAAUGCUAUCCGCAAUGAUCCAAGGAUUAACUGGAUCUGCAAUCCUGUCCACAAGCACAGGGAGCUUCGAGGGCUCACAUCUGCUGGUAAGAAAAACAGGGGUCUGCACGGAAAG